CUGGGAGUGAUGACAGCUUUACACGUGAGAAUCGGCUGUGAUGUUUCGGUAUUCAUACUGUCUGACCCGC